AUUGAACGCUGGCGGCAGGCUUAACACAUGCAAGUCGAGCGGGGAAGGGUAGCUUGCUACCUAACCUAGCGGCGGACGGGUGAGUAAUGCUUAGGAAUCUGCCAUUUAGUGGGGGACAACAUUCCGAAAGGAAUGCUAAUACCGCAUACGUCCUACGGGAGAAAGCAGGGGAUCUUCGGACCUUGCGCUAAAUGAUGAGCCUAAGUCGGAUUAGCUAGUUGGUGGGGUAAAGGCCUACCAAGGCGACGAUCUGUAGCGGGUCUGAGAGGAUGAACCGCCACACGGGGACUGAGACACGGCCCAGACUCCUACGGGAGGCAGCAGUGGGGAAUAUUGGACAAUGGGCGGAAGCCUGAUCCAGCCAUGCCGCGUGUGUGAAGAAGGCCUUAUGGUUGUAAAGCACUUUAAGCGAGGAGGAGGCUACUAGUAUUAAUACUACUGGAUAGUGGACGUUACUCGCAGAAUAAGCACCGGCUAACUCUGUGCCAGCCGCCGCCGUAA
rnacentral:rRNA from 1 species